rnacentral:tRNA from 1 species
UAUUAAGAAGGGGGUGUGUUACGUAGGCCCAGGGGGGUGUGUAUAGGCACUCGGCUUGAAGG